rnacentral:rRNA from 1 species
AUUGAACGCUGGCGGCAGGCCUAACACAUGCAAGUCGAGCGAGCGGCGGACGGGUGAGUAAUGUCUGGGAAUCUGCCCGAUAGAGGGGGAUAACUUCUGGCAACGGUAGCUAAUACCGCAUACUAUCAGAUGAACCCAUAUGGGAUUAGCUAGUCGGUGGGGUAAAGGCGCACCUAGGCGACGAUCUGUAGCUGGUCUGAGAGGAUGAUCAGCCACACUGGGACUGAGACACGGCCCAGACUCCUACGGGAGGCAGCAGUGGGGAAUAUUGGACAAUGGGCGAAAGCCUGAUGCAGCCAUGCCGCGUGUAUGAAGAAGGCCUUAGGGUUGUAAAGUACUUUCAGCGGGGAGGCGUUACCCGCAGAAGAAGCACCGGCUAACUCCGUGCCAGCAGCCGCGGUAAUAC